rnacentral:rRNA from 1 species
UACGUAGGGACCGAGCGUUGUCCGGAAUCAUUGGGCGUAAAGAGCGUGUAGGCGGCUUGCUAAGUCUUGCGUGAAAUCUCGGGGCUCAACCCCGAGCGGUCGUGGGAAACUGUCGAGCUAGAGUCUGGAAGAGGCGAGUGGAAUUCCUGGUGUAGCGGUGAAAUGCGCAGAUAUCAGGAGGAACACCAAUGGCGAAGGCAGCUCGCUGGGACGGUACUGACGCCUGGAGAACGGCGAAAGCGUGGGGAGCAAACAGG